rnacentral:rRNA from 1 species
AGCGGCGGACGGGUGAGUAACACGUGGGUAACCUGCCUCAUACAGGGGGAUAACAGUUGGAAACGGCUGCUAAUACCGCAUAAGCGCACAGUACCGCAUGGUACCGUGUGAAAAACUCCGGUGGUAUGAGAUGGACCCGCGUCUGAUUAGGUAGUUGGUGGGGUAACGGCCUACCAAGCCGACGAUCAGUAGCCGACCUGAGAGGGUGACCGGCCACAUUGGGACUGAGACAUGGCCCAA